UCCAUCUGCCUAAUCCCCAAUAACUGUGGUC
rnacentral:piRNA from 1 species